rnacentral:tRNA from 1 species
GCACAGUUCGAGUAGCAAGGGUAACUCGCCUUUUUGGAGAAGCAGGUUCGAGUCCUGCACUGUGCA